UACGUAGGGUGCAAGCGUUAAUCGGAAUUACUGGGCGUAAAGCGUGCGCAGGCGGUUAUGUAAGACAGAUGUGAAAUGCCCGGGCUUAACCUGGGAACUGCAUUUGUGACUGCAUGGCUAGAGUUUGGCAGAGGGGGGGUAGAAUUCCACGUGUAGCAGUGAAAUGCGUAGAUAUGUGGAGGAACACCGAUGGCGAAGGCAGCCCCCUGGGUCAAGACUGACGCUCAUGCACGAAAGCGUGGGGAGCAAACAGG
rnacentral:rRNA from 1 species